UACGUAGGUGGCAAGCGUUUGUCCGGAAUUAUUGGGCGUAAAGCGCGCGCAGGCGGCCUCUUAAGUCUGAUGUGAAAGCCCCCCGGCUCAACCGGGGGAGGGCCAUUGGAAACUGGGAGGCUUGAGUAUAGGAGAGAAGAGUGGAAUUCCACGUGUAGCGGUGAAAUGGCGUAGAGAUGUGGAGGAACACCAGUGGCGAAGGCGACUCUUUGGCCUAUAACUGACGCUGAGGCGCGAA
rnacentral:rRNA from 1 species